rnacentral:rRNA from 1 species
GACGAGGGGCCUAGCGUUGUCCGGAAUUAUUGGGCGUAAAGGGCUCGUAGGCGGUCUGUCACGUCGGGAGUGAAAACUCAGGGCUUAACCCUGAGCCUGCUUCCGAUACGGGCAGACUAGAGGUAUGCAGGGGGAGAACGGAAUUCCUGGUGUAGCGGUGAAAUGCGCAGAUAUCAGGAGGAACACCGGUGGCGAAGGCGGUUCCCUGGGAAUGACCUGACGCUGAGGAGCGAAAGUGUGGGGAGCGAACAGG